rnacentral:sRNA from 1 species
AUCACAUUUAUCUUUACAUAUUUGUCGUCUUUCUUG